UCGAACUAUGAUCUUCGUUUUUGGUCGUAUUCAUUGCAUUGAGAAUAAAAUUUCUGAAUAUUAUUAUUCUGCUGUUGGUCUUUCAAUUGACAAAAACAGAUUAUUGCAAUGGCUUCUCUGAUAAAGUCAGUAAUUGAUGAUUAUGAAGGUAAUUCUGGAUCCAAAAAAGUACAUUUCUCAAGCAAGAUCGCCAGAAGAUAGUUGAGUCGAUUGACCAACCUUCAGGAGGAAGAUCUUCAUUCAUGUAACUUGAAGUAGAAACUGGCGAUCUAGAGUCCAAAAAGCAUGCAUGAUCCAGGUCUAGGCGAAGGAACCAAUGGAGGACGGGAAAGGAGCAGAGCUAGGGGUUAUUUGUGAAUUGUAAAGAACUGCAACCCCUUUCUUUUGAGCAAAUCUAUUGUAAUGUAUUUAGGAUUAGGGUGCCAGUAGGAUAUGAUUAUGUAUAUGUGUGUGAGUAUGUGUCGAUUGUAUGGCUUGUGUAUGAAUUUUUGUUUGCUUGUAGACUUAUGGCUAGGAAACUUGGCUGUGGUGUGUG